CCAAAGUAUUGGGAUUACAGGUGUGAACCACCACACCUGGCCCAGAAUUCUUAUAUGUCCCCAGAGAGAAUAGGCAGAAAGCCUUCAGUUAGAGUCACAUAUUGCUUACCAUUUUUUCUUUUUAAUUCUAGGACUGCUUGCUCUGAGCGAGGCUUGUCUUGAAAUCUGAAUGACCACAAGGAGAUUAUAAAUGUGAACACCUCAGAAGGCACAGCCCGCCCAGAAGGCAGACAGGUCAGGCUGUUUUUUCUUCAUUGGUUGGAUUCAAUCUUCUGGCAGCUCAGACAUAACUUAAGCGUGAUUAAACUUUAGAGGAAGCUGCCAGGAAGACUGUGAAAUCUUCAUGCCCAAAGAUCCCUAAAAUUAGGAGCGACAACCACUUGGCUCAGACGGUUUAUGGAGGCAAAGGUUUGGAUGGGAUUAGAGAUUUCUAAAUGGGAGUUCGUGUCCUCUGCCAGACCACCUUGCUUCCAGCAUUCCUCGGCAAAUCGAGAAAAACAGGAGUAAAGAUGUGUCUUUCUAUUCAGGGCAUGAGAAGCACAAUUGCUGAAAUCAGGACUUCACUCGGAGAAUCGAUGAGGUGAGUCUAAGGAACUAUAAAGCUUUGCAGGAUUUCUGCUACUCUCAGUGCCUGACCGCUUAAAAAUUAAGCAUUUCUACAAAAAGUUUGUUUUAAAGUAUCUGAAAACAGUCAUAUCCAGUUAAGUUGCCCUCCCACCCCCAACCCUGCUUAAGGGAAAAGCCACUGAGGUUUAGGAAAAGCAGAUCAAGUAAGAUAUUAAUCACAUAGAAAAAAAGUAAUCUUUUGUUUUGCUUUUUUUUUUUUUAAAAAAAAAGGUCCCAUGAAUAUACAGCCAUCUCUUAAGGAACUCUAGUGAAAUGUCAUUGGAGGACUGAAGGAGGGUGCUCUGGCAAAAAUAGAUCUAUUCUAAUGUGUUCUAUAGAGUAACAAGUCAGUACCAUUGUCAAGGUGCAUGUUCUGCACCACACAAUUUUUGUUGUUGGUUUUUCGUUUUGGAUUUUAGCUCAUUACAGUUUUCAAAUCACCGCUAGCGAGUGGUCCAAAACUCCAACAGCCACCAACUUGGGACCCAGCAAUUUCAAACAUUCCCUUUUUGUUCUGAAAUUUAGAAAAUAUUAAUAAAACAGCAUCAUAGUAAAAAUAUUAUGCUGAA
rnacentral:lncRNA from 13 species